rnacentral:rRNA from 1 species
UACGGGGGGAGCAAGCGUUGUUCGGAUUUACUGGGCGUAAAGGGCGGGUAGGCGGCCACUGCAAGUCGGUUGUGAAAUCUCCGGGCUUAACCCGGAAAGGUCAACCGAUACUGCAGGGCUAGAGUGCAGAAGGGGCAACUGGAAUUCUCGGUGUAGCGGUGAAAUGCGUAGAUAUCGUGAGGAACACCAGAGGCGAAGGCGGUUACCUGGACAGUUACUGACGCUCAGGCACGAAAGCAUGGGGAGCAAAAGGG